rnacentral:rRNA from 1 species
AGUGAACGCUGGCGGUAGGCCUAACACAUGCAAGUCGAACGGCAGCACAGUAAGAGCUUGCUCUUACGGGUGGCGAGUGGCGGACGGGUGAGGAAUACAUCGGAAUCUACUUUUUCGUGGGGGAUAACGUAGGGAAACUUACGCUAAUACCGCAUACGACCUACGGGUGAAAGCAGGGGAUCUUCGGACCUUGCGCGAUUGAAUGAGCCGAUGUCGGAUUAGCUAGUUGGCGGGGUAAAGGCCCACCAAGGCGACGAUCCGUAGCUGGUCUGAGAGGAUGAUCAGGCAAAAUGGAACUGGGACACGGGCCAGACUACUACGGGAGGGAGCAGUGGGGAAUAUUGGACAAUGGGCGCAAGCCUGAUCCAGCCAUACCGCGUGGGUGAAGAAGGCCUCCGGGUUGUAAAGCCCUUUUGUUGGGAAAGAAAAGCAGCAGGUUAAUACCCCGCUGUUCUGACGGUACCCAAAGAAUAAGCACCGGCUAACUUCGUG